GCUGCGAUGUCCGAGUGGUUAAGGAGAUGGACUUGAAAUCCAUUGGGUUCUACCCGCACAGGUUCGAAUCCUGUUCGCAGCG
rnacentral:tRNA from 1 species